AGCGAACGCUGGCGGCAGGCCUAACACAUGCAAGUCGAACGAACUCUUCGGAGUUAGUGGCGGACGGGUGAGUAACACGUGGGAACGUGCCUUUAGGUUCGGAAUCACUCAGGGAAACUUGUGCUAAUACCGAAUGUGCCCUCCGGGGGAAAGAUUUAUCGCCUUUAGAGCGGCCCGCGUCUGAUUAGCUAGUUGGUGAGGUAAUGGCUCACCAAGGCUACGAUCAGUAGCUGGUCUGAGAGGAUGACCAGCCACAUUGGGACUGAGACACGGCCCAAACUCCUACGGGAGGCAGCAGUGGGGAAUCUUGCGCAAUGGGCGAAAGCCGGACGCAGCCAUGCCGCGUGGAUGAUGAAGGUCUUAGGAUUGUAAAAUCCUUUCACCGGUGAAGAUAAUGACUGUAGCCGGAGAAGAAGCCCCGGCUAACUUCGUGCCAGCCGCCGCGGGGUAAA
rnacentral:rRNA from 1 species